AUGGCUGAUUUGAAAAUUCACUGCAAACACUGUCUUAUUUUUUAUUUUUUUUGCUUUGAUUCUUGGACUUCAAUCAAAGGUGUGGAUAAAUCCAUCAUUCAAGAACAUGUUCCUGUGUGUCCCAAUGGGCACUUAUCUGAUUUCACAGGUAUGAUAAAUUUUGCUAAGAACAGCACCAUCAAAAAUCCCACAAGAGCAAACUGGCCUGGGAGAAAACUAGAAGAUUAUGACACUGGAGAAGAACAGUUGUUGAAGCUCCAACACUGUGGAAUUGGUUUGAAGUCCAGAGUUCUGAAGAAUGAUGAAGCUGAGGGCAAUGCCUUAGGCUUGUGUAACUAAUGGUCUUUACUAGAGUGGCCUGACUACUCAGUCAGAAAACCAAGGGGUAGCAAGCCAAAAAUUUAAAAACAUAUUUUAGUCUGUGUCUACUUUAUUUAUAAAACUGUUUUAAGGAAGAAUACAUUAUAGCCCAUGAUAGAAACUUAACCAGGAAAAAGAUAAUUGAACAUAUUAUUUAAGUCCUUGGUAUUCAAAAUGAACAAUCUGGUUUUAUUCAAGAUCUGUGUGCAUUAAUUUAGUGGUAAACUCAACACAGUACAUGUGUUAAAAGGCUGCUGAAUAAUACUUGCAUGCAGGCUACUGCAUGAUGUUGCUGUCUUUAUCUUAUUAUGAAGAUUAAAAAUAUUACUUAAAAAAAUAUUUUUGUUACUCUGAAGGUAUACUACCAAAAGAGUUCCAGAACUUAGAAUACUCAGAGCAAUACAUUUCCUAGGUAUAUAGGUAGCAUAGAUAUAGACAUUUUAUUCAGCUACAGUCAUUUCUGGACUUGGUCUUGGGCUAUGCAGACUCUAGUGUCCAAGGUACCCAUUCACAGUUCAUUUUGCUGACAAACAGCAAGUAAAACCCAGAACAGAGCAUUCUCCAUAAUCUAAGGACCUGACUGCUUGAUCUUGUAUGGUGGACUGGGAAAUCAUUGCAGUGCCUUAGUGAGGCACAGUUUCCUAUCAUGUCCCUGACACCAUCUCACCAUGGAUCUUGGAGUGAGAGAUAGGUCAUGUAGUGGCCUAAAAUGUCAGAUGUCAUCAGUAAACUGCGAAUGGGGAAGCACUGAACCUCCGAAAAUGGCCUCUGAGAUAUCUAGACCACUUAAAUCAGGGUGUAACUGUUCCAAAAAUAAUACAAUUGUGUUAAAACUAGUGGCUACUGACUUAAUUAAAGCUGAUAAAAUUAAAACUGUAUCACUGGAUCCUGGAUAUAUAUUUCAUUCCUAGGGAAGAAAGCUGCUGGUUUGUCUGACUGGGCUGCUGUGAUCAGAGCCAGGGAAAUCCAUAUGAAGGAAGCAGGAAACUGUACCUUCCUAAGUUAUUGGACAAGCUAAACUGGGAAAUAUGGGUGAGAUAUAGGAGAAGAACAGGAAACAGUGAAUCAUCACACUGCUAGAAACUGCAGGCACCUUGCUGGGAAAAAGGUGUGACAUCCAGAAACAGAGCUACGGAAUACUUCAGAGCUGACUGAGAUACAGGGAAUCUUUAGGAAAUGACUGAGACAUUAUGCAAAUGCAGAAAGCCACUAAAGUCUGCUGGACAGGCAGACAUGGGGAGGACACCUCCCUUGAAAAGGUGCAGCUGAAAGGAACAAGAUCUCUGUUGAUCCUUUGUUUAGGAUUAUCCCACAGCUGUCUCACAGUCCUGCUUUAUAUACUUAACGUAGGAAGGGUUCUGCUUUUCCAGUGUGGACGUUGUACUGUGGUGAAAUAUUGUGUCUAACAAUACAGACAUAUUGGAGGUUGCUGAAGUACAGAGCCUGGUGAUGUGAACACUUUAAAGAAGUAUGGAUGGCUUCCCAAAUCUCUGUGGUUUGAGGUCUUGUAUUCAUUACUGUCCCCAAAUUUCUGGUGUGAUUUGCAGAGUAUUUAUAAUAUGCAUAGUGACAUUUGAUUCUUUUCAAGAAAGGAUUCUUAUUUAUGAAUUUGGGUGGGAAAGCUUUCUUAUGACUAAAGCAGCAACCUAAAGCAGAAAAAUGCAUACAGCUAACUUCAUUUUAUUUGGGCAGUCCCUGGUCACCACAAUUCUAUUAUUCCUUCUUCCUGAUUCUUAAUCUUCUAUUACCUUUUAUUUUACAAAGAGGGAGCUCGUUCACAUUGCUAGUACUCUUGCUCACUGCCCCUCUCUCCCCAGCAAAUCAGUUUUAGUAAGUCUACCAGUAUCCAUACUAAUUCCAGCUGAACUGGGAUUGUGGCUCUGAUCCUUUUACUGUUGCUACCUCAGUUUCUACUUCCCUUUCUGGAUCCUAGUGAGCUGUUUUACUGGAAAACAUAUUUCUUUUUAGAGAUUUCACUUUCAUGUAUCAAGUUCUAAUGCCAUACCACCUUUUCUGAAAGAAUUGCUCAAAAUUUUUCAUUUCUGAGCCAAAAAAAGGUUAAACAUUGAUACACCUAAGUGUUACUAAUAGUUUCAGAUUUCUGUGUUUGAUAUUUUUUAUCAGAUUUUUUUGGGUUUUAUAUGCAUCAGACCAUUCAAAAUUUUUGUUACUGAUUUGCUUAAUCCAAGGCCCAUCUCUCAGUUCUCACUUGUGCAAAUUUUUAAGCAGUGAUAGUAAAUAGUUUAGAAUAUUCCCACCACCAUGGCCAGAAUCUGUUUCCUAUUUCAUAUGAUUUCUUAACAAUUUCUUUAUUAUCUUAAAAGAAUUUUACAUUCAGCAUGAAGUUUUCUGGUUUUGCAGCGAUUUGGUUGAAAUGUGGACCUUUCUCACACACCACAUUGGGUUCCCUAUGUGCUGAUCACUCAGCUAUAUUCACUAUAACAUGUUGGUUCCUUAAUACCAAGUUAAUGUGAAUUAUAAUUAUGUACUGAAAAAAAGCUUUUCUGGUAUAUGCGAAUGUUAUAAUUUACACCUUUAAUAGACAAAAUUAUUUAAUUUUUAGUUUUCUCAGUUUUAUGGUCCUGUUUGAUCAAUUCUACCCUUUUUCCAUAUCAGUGUGUCUAUUAAGUCUUUUCUGAAUUGCAUCAUUACCUUUUGUCCCACUGUCUUCUAACUCCUAAAAAAUAAACUGUCAGAGACAGCUCUGUUUUAGCUCUGU
rnacentral:lncRNA from 1 species